AUUUUGUAUUUACUAUUUAGUAUUUGUAUUAUGUCAGUUCAUACUGUAUACUAUAUAGCAAUGGAUUUAAUAAAUGUAAUUUUAGCGUUAACAUUUUAUGGGAUUAUGAUAUUGUACAUUGUACAUGCUCGAAUAUAAAUUUUCAAAUCUCGGUAAGGUACAGUAUAGUGUGUACCUAGUACCGGUCCAUCGGUCUGUCAGCAGUUUUCAUACAAAGACAAUGGUUUUUUUUGAUACCCCUCCCCGAAUGAAGCCACUGCCAGAGACCAGAAAAAUAGAGCGCUUCUAACUCCAUUUUUGAAAAUUGUUUGUCUGUUUAAGCGCAGAAAAUAACAACUGUACAUUUGCUGCGGAUCAUAUUGUGCCUUUCGUCAGUUAUUUUGGUAGUAUGGUACUAAUCAUUAAAUGUCAGAAGCAAUUGUUAUUGAUGCAUUAAUAAACUAUGUACUGAUAACUUUCCGUUUACAGAACCGCGAUUAAACCAGGAUUACAAAAAUGAAAAAUAACAACAUUAAACAACCCGCAUUCCUAAGUCGAAAUAAAUAAUAAUGGGCAGCAGUAAGAUAAUAAUUUAAUAUUAUCCUGUGAUAACAGUGUGUUAUUGUUGUUAAACUCGUAUCUAUUCGACGAAUCUAAAAUCGGCUUUGUGUACAAUAAUAAUAACAACAUGUGCUGAUUAUUGCCGACGUGCAAAGAGUCCGUAUGAGAGCUCAUCCUAAUUGUUUCAAGUUUUUUAAUAGCUCCCCCGACCACCACGGGCAUCUCCAUAGUAGACGAAUAAAAUAAAAAGUUGUAUUUUGUCGACGAACCAUUUCAACUGCGCAUUACGUGUACAACGAUAAAACAUCAAAGUACACGACAUCAGCGGACGAGGGCGCUGGCUCCAUUUAUUGGAGAUUUACCGAAUUUUAUUAUUCACUUUACGGUCGGCGAGUGACAAUACAAAAUCGACGACGUUUUUGGUGGUUUGACCUCCACUAGUUCAGUGGCGUUUUUUAUAUGGUAUCGUCCAAAAAUUCCACUUUAUUUUUAUACCUAUUGUAGCUGACAUUUGAAAUUGACUCGAUAGACCGAUAAACAUCCCUACACCCCGACGAGUGGUUCGGAAAUCGUUUCAGACGGACGGGAACCUGACAGUCGACACCGGACAAAGCUUGAUGGAGCAAACGAAUUUCCUCGUCGUCCGUCGACUGCUUCUCCUCCACACCUAAGCGCCAUCGAGGGUCACACACCGGCUGGCCUAUGUUUCGCGUUGUUCAAUUAAGGUUUUCCUCGUAUUUUGCACACAGCGCUAUUGCCAUAAAUAAUAUUUGUUUCACACGCGCGUACGAUAUUAUUUUUAAACGUAUAUUCGGUGCCUUUUUCUCGUUCAAUUGCAAACGUCGCAACACAUUUUAAUACGAUAUAGCCGUACAGAUAAGACUGCGUCCCGUCCGGUCCGCGAGAACGAGAGUGCGUUAUUAGAAUGUCUAUAAAUAAAGCGCACCGAGUUUACGACUGUGCGUAUGUAGUCGUCGUAAAUCCGCGAUGGUAUUGUUGUAUAGUUGUAUUAUCAGCGACGACAGCGACAACGAUGACAAUGAGAUGUUAAUAAUAACAACAAAUUAAAUAUACCAUUCCUCGUAGUAAAAUAACUACAAUAAUGGCUAAUGAGUAAUAAUAUUAUCAUCGUUUUUAUUAAUAACCGCGCGUGGCGUCUUCUCGGAUGAAAUCGAUCGACUAAGUGACGCGUUCAUAAUAAUAUAUUAUCGAGAAAUGAGAAUAUUACAAUUUUAUGGUCUCAAGAAGUUGUUGCCUUUCACCCGCCGCAGCCCGCAGUGUCUUCCUCUGUCGGAACGGACGCGGCUGUGCGGCGGGGUCGUCACAGUACACUGACACAUGACAACGACGACGAUGACAAUUCAUUCGAGACUUAACGGCUACCGCAUUUUCUUCCAGGAUGCGUUCUGACACAACGUCUUCGGGUUUAACACGACAGCAGCCAAAUAUCCCGUCGAUAUUUACACUAUAAUGGCGUGUGGAGUAUUCGUUAUACAACAAUUAUUAUCAUAUAAAUUCAAUAUUUCAAUACACACACACAUACAAUAUAUAUAUACGAUACCUAAAAAGCAAUCACACGCGGUAAGCCCGUGUAUAAUAUUUAAUAUUUAUUAUUUAUUAUCCUCUAUCCAGGCACACAAAAUAUUGUGUUUGUGUCAACCGUAUCGUGUUGCACGGUUGUGCCUAUGCGUCAUAUUAUUAAUAUUGUAUUAUAAAUAUUAGUCAUAUUAUAAUUAUUGUCGACACAAUUUUGCGUUAAAUGAUUGUUUACUCAUACACGCUCGGGUACUAAAUAAUAAUUGUAAUUUUCCGCAGCGUUUCAUGUAAUUAAACAACAUCGCUAUCCGUGAAAUUUUAUAUAGUUGGUCAUAACCGACGACAAUCAAUAAUUGCAAAAUAGAAUAUUGCACGAAGCGCAUCCGUAUUGUAAUCUAAAAUGUCCAAUAUUUUGUAUUUUAUUCUUCGUAAGAACAAAAACCUUAUAACUUAUAACUUUAUAAGCGUUCAGUGUAAAUGGAUUCUCCAAAACGUUGUGCAUAACUAUAUACAAACCGUGAAGAAUUAAGAGCCGUGUUUAACAUUAUGUUUAACAAUAAGUAAAAUAACUAAUAAGUAAAUUAUGUUUUUGUAAUAGGCCUUCAGUCUGUUAUAAUUUAUAGCCGAUGGCUAUUUUAGUGUUAUAAUAUAGAAAAUUAAAGAUUCAUAUUAAUAUGUUUGUACCAAA